GCUUUGAGACUGGAAGUGGAAACGCGGACGCGCUGCAACGAAGUCCGGCGCGUGUUUCUGCUCACACCGGGACCUCACACAGAACACUUACAACCUGCCCCGUUAGUGUUUUUCCUCUUUAAGUAAUCGCCCUCUCAGAAGAAAGUAACGCGGAUGAGCCACGCAGAGUUUCCGCACAGAGUGAGUUUUGCGUGGACUGAUUCAUCAGCGGGGUGCAUUAAUCCAGUGGCACGGAGACAGUGGAGCAGACGCACGUUUUCUUUUGUUGCAGACUCAGGACCAGACGCUGUAAAAUGUUGUCAAACCCUUCCUUCCCGGUGACCGCUCUCCUCCUCGUCUGCGUUGCGUUACCAACUGCGUGCGGAUGUCAGCCCACCAGUGAGCCCAGCAAAGGAGGUCUCCAGUCGGUCCUGGAUGAAUCCGUGUCCCCUGCUUUUGGCGCCACCAUCAUCAUCAUCCUCACGGGGAUCAUGUCCGCCAGCGCCUACCUCUGCUUCCUGAAGUACGUGUGCGCCGGCUGCUGCAGGCCCACGCAGGUGGCUCCCGCUGUGGACAUGGACCCCGACAAGGUCGAAGAGCAGGUAUAGCACAGCUGGAGAGAGACGCAGACAAAGAAGAGAAGCCCAGAAGGUUAAAAAAGAAUGGACUCAGACGCCAGCAGCAUUUUACGUCUGCUCUGUCUGACUCUCCUCGUGUCACAACACGAGCUGAGGAUGCAUAACUGGACUGUUCGUUUCUGGCCUCGCUUGAUCUAACUGUGACCUGCUGGUUGAUCUCUCAUCAGACGAUUUCCAUCUAGAUAUUGGACUGUGGGAAAAUUUAGUUUGUUUUGUGUGUUACUUUUAAGGAAUGAUGCAACGUCUGCAAGGCAGGAUGUUGCUGGAGAAAACCGGAGAUUUGACUUGGCAGAAAGUUAAGGAAAAACAGUUGCUAGACAUGACCCGUUGUGAGGAGACAGUCCUCCAGGAUUAUGAUAUAGUGUUACAGUGUAACUGACUGAAAACUCUUUCAAGAAAAUUAUGGGCAUGGCACUGAGUGUGAUAAAGUACAUACGUUUUUUUGAGGAAAAGCUUGUUCCCAUCAAGAAGGUCCGUUGCCCAGUAACAAGCCGUGGAUGAAAACUCCAGCGUGAAAGUGCUGUCGAGGACGGAGAGAGCUUUGAUGGCAAGAAGUAGUAAGAGUGUAAGAAUGAGGGCUCUCUGGCAAGCGCCGCAGAACAUGGUGAUCUGAGAGUUGUGCUUUCAUUAUCAAUAUUUGUGUUCUAUACUACAGGUGUUGCACAAUAUAAAUAUGACAGGGAUCACAGACUGUAUAAAUAUGGACGGCAGCCACACGGAGCCACGCUUUUAUCCCUGAUCCGACCGCACUUCCUCCAGAGUCAUUAUACACUAUAAUUGUUUUUAAAAUGUUUUUUUUUUUUUUUUUUACAACUCUCACAGUCCCGCAGGACCGCUUUUUAGUGCGGUUGGCAUGGCACCUGCUGGUCGCCAUUAUGUCGCAUCCUGUUUCUAUAGCGUCAGUGGAUAGUCCCAUCCACUAACAUGGAGGAGGUGACCUAUACUGCAGCCAGACACCAGGGGGAGCUCUGCUUGUUUUGUCUUCACUUUUGAGGAGCUGUCCAUAUUUAUACAGACUAUGGCAGGGACCAACUGUAUCCAUGGCGUUUGUGUUUGUGUAAUAAUUUUUGAAAUAAUCCUCUCAGGGAAGCUGCUUAAUACACAGGAUCACUGUGAUGGUUCCAGAAUUGCUGGUUCCUGCAACUUCACUCAGAUUCUCUAAGUGUUCCCAUGAUCAAGGCAGCUGCCUGUCCCACAUCUCGGGACUUUGAGUGAAUACAGUGAUUUUCUCUGUCAGGGUGAGGUAAGUGUUUGUGCCUCCGAGAAGAUUUUCCGAACGCAAAAGGCCACUCAGAUUUCCUUCUAGGUAUCUGUCGAGGAUGUUGAAGACCCACUCUGCUGUACUUCUACUUUGGGUGACCUUGCACAACCACAUAUCAUCACUCAGUGAUCGGAAAUGUAGAAAGCAGACACAUUAGAUAAAUAAGAAUAGGAAGACGCUAGACAGGGAAAACCAAGGAAGGAACUUUUAAAGUUAGAGCAGGAAACGGAAGGAAGACCAAAUCGAAUUAUGGAAGAUGUGCAAAGCUCGAUGCAGUGGAAACAGGAAAGGUUCAAAGCACAAUGUCCUGCCAUGUGCAGCUUAACAAUCCCACCCCACAGGGAUAAAUCUGCAUGAGAUCUGAUAGUGAGAGAGAGAGACUCCGUGGGUUAAGGAGGGCAAUAGGUUCAAAGGUGACCAGGAAGAAAUGCACGAGCUAAGGGCACUUAGCUUAAUUGAAGAAUAAAACAAUAAAAGAUAAAUAUGUAAUAAAACGACAUUAAAAAAGAAGAGAUAAAAGAACACAUUAAAAUUAUGAGUGUGUUUAGGCUGUAUAAACACCACGCUUGGGAAUUUUUAUGAUGGGCAGCGUGUAUCAUGAAUACACAUAAGCGUGAUAGAUUAUUGCAUUGCAGGCACUAAACUAUUAAAUGAACAUUUAACUGUCUUAAUGUAAUUUCUUCGUGACCAACGGUGCAAAAAUGGUCUAAUGGUGGAUUAUUAACAGGAUGUGAUGUAAGCAACAUAACAGAUAUGUGAGUAUCAACCCAUCGGUGCUGGAGUACCAAGAGGAUGAAAAGCAGAAGCAUCUGGAAUAGCAUGUUUCUGAGUCGUCUAUUAUCAAACUGGAGGAUUGAUUACAUUUUUAACCCAUACAGUGAUGAUAUUUCCUUCAGUAAGGCUGCAGCUUUUUAAGUCCCUACACUGCUUUAAAAAACAAAACUAAAACUAAAACAACUGGACUCGUUGAUUUUUCUUGGUGGGAGUUUUGACAACAGACUAGGGUCUGUUAAUGAACUAGUACACAUCUGACAUUAGGGACAUUUGUUCAAGUUAACCAUAUAUUUAAUGCUCUUUCAAAGCAUCUGCCUUCUGUGGCUAUUAGUUCCCUCACUGCACCAAACUGCUGUACAUAAACGUUGCUGUUUUAUCCAUGAUCAGAGACUUCUUGUGUUUCCCCAUAAAACAUUCAGAAUCAAUGGAAUGUACUUCAAAUGUCAAUUUGUCAUGAGAAGAGCGACUUCAAUAUUAUGGGCUGGAUUAGAGUAGUUGGUUACGUUGCGUCAUGUGUCAGUGUCUUGUUUGCCAUCUCUUUCGACUGUGUCUCUGUUUUAUUAUAUAACAUGUUUAUUGCGAUGCACGUUGUAAUUUUUAUCUGUGAAAAUUGCUAAGUAUAUAAACUGGCUAGCAAGUAAAGCUGGCAUUCAUACUUGACGUCUACACCGUCGGUUUUAACAUCAACAGAGAGACAAACAACCAUUCACACUCACAGAAUCACCAAUCAACCUCAUGAACAAACUCCACAACGCCUCCUCGCUGUGAGGCAUCAGU